UCUCGAUUCUUUGCCCCCCAACUCAAUCCAAUACUUCGUCUCUCUAUUCUCUUCCAUCGCUCUCGGUGCCAUAGCUACCACUGUCAACCCAAUGUACAUUGUCGCCGAGCUAUCCAAACAACCAUUCCACCAGCCCUUCUUCCCCCAUUAACUUCAAUCUCACCGACGUAAACGGGUGGGAUCACCAUAGGAGUUCCUGCACAUGGUCCUUCUCUGCAGUCUCCCACUUCGCUUUCUUCAUUGAUUCCAUCUUCGUUUGGUUCGCAGUUUGAUGGAGGAUUAGGUCGUCAUAAUACUAUUAGUAUGCCCGAAUUUGCAACCAGUACUAGCACUCCGCAGGUAAGGCAAUCAAUAUCUUGAAUGCAGAGAGUAAGAAUGAUGGGAUCUCUUGGUUUCAAUUCUUCUCUGCGACCAAGUGGAGUUCCUGCAUCACAUCUACAGAGACCUCUACAAUAUUUUCUUAGACCACAGACAGGUGCUAAUAAUCAGACUGCAUCACAAAUUGAUCCAGGUAAAAGAUUGGAUCUUGAAGUGGUGAUGACAUUCUUGUUGAUAUUGCUGAUGAUGUUGUUGAAUCUGUGAGUUCCAUCUUCCCUAAAUAUUUUAGUAGUAAAAUGUACUUAACAAAAUGUUUUUUUAAAGAUUUUGCUUGUAUUAUUUAAUGAACUGGGAUCUUUUUAUACAAUUUUUUUAAUUAGUUUUGUUUGUCUACUU